rnacentral:rRNA from 1 species
CCUACGGGAGGCAGCAGUAGGGAAUUUUCGGCAAUGGGGGGAACCCUGACCGAGCAACGCCGCGUGAACGAAGAAGUUUUUCGUAAUGUAAAGUUCUUUUAACAGGGAAGAAAGAGACAUUUGACGGUACCUGAAGAAUAAGCUCCGGCAAACUACGUGCCAGCAGCCGGGGUAAUAGGUAGGGAGGAAGCGUUAUCCGGAAUUGUGGGUCGAAAGGGGUGCGUAGAUGGCAUAGAAGGUCUUUUGUAAAAAUGCUGGGCUAAACCCAGUAGGGCAAAAGAUACUGCAAAGCUAGAGAAUGACAGAGGCAAGUGGAACGACAGGGGUAGCGGUAAAAUGCGUAGAGAU